UCAAGCAGGCCUGCAGGUGCCUGGGAGAGGCAAGCAGGUGUGCGCCAUGGAGCUUGCUGCAGACCAGAGCCCAAGAGCGUCCGAGGCCCAGGCCCUAAAGCCCUCCGUGGGCCGGCUCUCCCUCCACGCAGUCGCUUUGCUUGGUUCUGGGAGGGGGCCGAGGAGGUAUUGGCCAGCUUGGAGCUCAGUUUCCCCCAAAAGAAGACGGUCCCUUCAGGGAGGCCGUGUGAACCCCGGCUCAGAGCGGCCGUGUGCCUCUGUCAACCCAGACAGCAACACCCACCACCACCCCCGGGGACUGGCCGGCGGCGUGAGCAAUUGGGUGUUUAUCCUGUUUCAUCCUUUAAGAAAACCUCACAGCAACUGCUCCAGGACCCCAAACGGUCAUCUGUUGAUUGGACCAGAUCCAUCUUCUGGGGGGAGUCCCACCCAUGCACAGAAGGAGGAGCCCAGACACUGGAGGAAGAAAACGGUCCAGGUUUUGCCAGCGGUUCAUUUAAGAAAUUUAAUUGAUCACAGUAAGACAUUCGGGCUAUAAAAACAUUCUAUACAGUGGUUUAAAAAGCGAUACCCACCCCCCAAAAGCAACCCACCAUAUAUACAACACAGACACGAUUCUCCUGAAGAGCUUUGCACUAAUCUUUGUACAAAAAGAGGCGUCUCAGAGACGGCUUCCCCCCAAGGCAGAGCCCCCGGAGGGGUCAGCGAUGCAGCAACCAGGGUUUGCAAAAAUAAAUAGAUCUUUGUUUCAUAUAUAGAAGUGAUACACUUUUAACAAAUAUACAAAGUGCAAACAUAACAAAAAAGCCCCCCCGGGAUCUGUACGAGGGAUUAUUUACAUGCUUCGGCAGGAGAAAAGGCUUCACAGUUUCCUAGAGGGUAGGGCACAGUGUCGGGCGGUCAUGCGGGGAGCGACAGGCAGG